CCUUCGAUAGCUCAGUUGGUAGAGCGGUGGACUGUAGUGCAAUUAAACUAAAUACAUAGACAUCCAUAGGUCGCUGGUUCAAAUCCGGCUCGAAGGA
rnacentral:tRNA from 1 species